rnacentral:rRNA from 1 species
UGGGGAAUUUUGGACAAUGGGCGCAAGCCUGAUCCAGCCAUGCCGCGUGCGGGAAGAAGGCCUUCGGGUUGUAAACCGCUUUUGUCAGGGAAGAAAUCUUCUGAGUUAGUACCUCGGGAGGAUGACGGUACCUGAAGAAUAAGCACCGGCUAACUACGUGCCAGCAGCCGCGGUAAUACGUAGGGUGCAAGCGUUAAUCGGAAUUACUGGGCGUAAAGCGUGCGCAGGCGGUUUUGUAAGACAGAGGUGAAAUCCCCGGGCUCAACCUGGGAACUGCCUUUGUGACUGCAAGGCUUGAGUGCGGCAGAGGGGGGCAUGGAAUUCCGCGUGUAGCAGUGAAAUUGCGUAGAUAUGCGGAGGAACACCGAUGGCGAAGGCAAUCCCCUGGGCCUGCACUGACGCUCAUGCACGAAAGCGUGGGGAGCAAACAGGAUUAGAUACCCUGGUAGUCCACGUCCUAAACCGAUGUCAACUGG